rnacentral:rRNA from 1 species
GACGAACGCUGGCGGCGUGCCUAAUACAUGCAAGUCGAACGCACUCUCGUUUAGAUUGAAGGAGCUUGCUCCUGAUUGAUAAACAUUUGAGUGAGUGGCGGACGGGUGAGUAACACGUGGGUAACCUGCCCUAAAGUGGGGGAUAACAUUUGGAAACAGAUGCUAAUACCGCAUAAAACCUAACACCGCAUGGUGUAGGGUUGAAAGAUGGUUUCGGCUAUCACUUUAGGAUGGACCCGCGGUGCAUUAGUUAGUUGGUGAGGUAAAGGCUCACCAAGACCGUGAUGCAUAGCCGACCUGAGAGGGUAAUCGGCCACACUGGGACUGAGACACGGCCCAGACUCCUACGGGAGGCAGCAGUAGGGAAUCUUCCACAAUGGACGAAAGUCUGAUGGAGCAACGCCGCGUGAGUGAAGAAGGUUUCGGAUCGCAAACUCUGUUGUUGGAGAAGAAUGUAUCUGAUAGUAACUGA